AUGAGGACUCUCCGCAGGUUGAAGUUCAUGAGUUCUCCCAGCCUCAGUGACCUGGGCAAGAGAGGGCCGGACGAGCGGGCACGCAGCAGCGCCGGGCCAGCGCCAAAGCCACCUGGAAUAGCAUCCGCGACGGGGUGAUCGCUGUCUUCCAGCCCAAGGGGCUGCCGGACCAGGAUCUCUUCACCUUCAACGAGGGCGUCCGGCAGCUGCUGAAGACAGAGUUGGGGUCCUUCUUCACGGAGUACCUGCAGAAUCAGCUGCUGACAAAAGGCAUGGUGAUCCUUCGGGACAAGAUCGGCUUCUACGAGGAAGCUGCUGGACUCGCUGGCAGAGACCUGGGACUUCUUCUUCAGUUAUGUGCUGCCCAUGAUGCAGGCCAUCUUCUACCCGGUGCAGGGCAAGGAGCCGUCAGUGCGCCAGCUGGCCCUGCUGCACUUCCAGAAUGCCAUCACCCUCAGCAUGAAGCUAGAGGAUGCACUGGCCUGGGCCCACGCCCGCGUGCCCCCUGCCAUCGUGCAGAUGCUGCUGGUGCUGCAGGGGGUGCACGAGUCCAGGGGAGUGACUAAGGACUACCUGCGCCUGGAGACGCUGGUCCAGAAGGUGGUAUCGCCAUACCUGGGCACCUACGGCCUCCACUCCAGCGAGGGGCCCUUCACCCACUCCUGCAUCCUGGAAAAGCGCCUGCUGUGCCGCUCCCGCUCAGGGGACGUGCUGGCCAAGAACCCGGUGGUGCGUUCCAAGAGCUACAACACGCCGCUCCUGAACCCCGUGCAGGAGCACGAGGUGGAGGGCACGGCGGCCGGCGGCACCAGCAUCAGCAGGCACUCCGUGUCCGAGAUGACUUCCUGCCCCGAGCCCCAGGGCUUCUCCGACCUGCCUGGCCAGGGCCCCGCCGGAGCCUACAGGUCCUCCCCGGUGCCCCACUCAGGGCCAUGCCCCAGCAGACUGCACCCCACGACCCAGCCCCCCGAGCAGGGCCCGGAUCCCACCAGCAGCCCGCUGCCCGGCUCCAGCCCGGAGAACCUGGGCAUUAGUAAAGGGCAGUGGGAUAGGAGUUGGUUUUAUAGG